AAUCUAACAGUAUACAUCUCAGUCAUGAGAAAUGAAUUCUUUUCUCUUGCAUUUGAUUAUAUGGCUGAUCCUACAGUAGAAAUUGCUACAUUUGCUGAAUUCAACAUGGAUGGGCUUGUAAGCGAGUACCCAGCAACUGUAAACAGAUAUUUCAGUAAGUAUUACAAAUGCAAGCUCUUUCUUAUUGAUCAGAGUUUUUUUUUUUCUUUGUAGGAAUCAGAGUUUUAAUCUAUCCAACAGAUAACAAUGGUUUUUGCUUUGGUCUUGCAGCUAAUGUAUGUUCAGAUCUCGACACUACUCCCUACGUAAUAGCGAUUCAACCACCAUAUCUAAUUCAGCUCCUUGGUAACAUACCAGGACCAGCAAGUGCUCCUAAUCCGCCUCUGAAACCUGCAGAUGUUGUUGACCCAGCAUUACCACCAGUAGCCAAAAUCACCGACGCUGAUAGCACCCCUGCUGCUCCAGGCAGUGAUAAAAAAUCUUCAAGUGCUCUACUAAAUGCAGAUGUUUUGGGUUCUUUUCUGGUGGCAAGUUUGGUGUUAGGCUUUCUCUGUAAAGGAUAUUAAAAAGAAGCACGCAUAAAUUGACUUGGAAACUGAUAUUUAACCUUGAUGUUGCUAGCCUUAUUCCAUCCCUUGAGAAAUCUGUAGUAAAUAGUUAUGAGAUUGAUAUAAGAGUGGCAUAUUGAUAUCAGUUUUAAUGGAUGAGUAGAUAAAAAACACAGCAUUCGUGGAUUGGAUAAUAGACAAAUCAGCAAUGAACUAAACAAGUUUCACCAAGCAUAGAUAAGAUGCAGAACAUAUGUGGAUAGCUGAUGAGUCCUUCAAACGUGGAUGGGAUACCUGCAUGUCAAAACAAAGAAAAUUCUGCAAUACUUGUCAAGUUCCUAAAGCUCUCUCACUCCUCUGCAUUAGAUUGUGUAAAGAAAAUAAAAGAUUUAACUGUCCCACUAUAUGCAAUGUUCAUAAUAAAACCAUCGUGUUAAAAUUUCUUCCUUGUGCAUGUCUAGCUUCACAAUUUCUAGAGCUCUCAACCCAUAAAAUAACCAUAAAUAUAAACAACAAUUUAAUCCUUGUUUUAUUAUUUUUUGAGUAUCCAUUUGGUUCUUACAAUUUUGAUAAGAAGAAUUGUAUCCAUUCAAUUUGAUAUGCUGGAAACAGAAGUUUUACCGGUAGAUUGUAAUUUUGUUUGCAAUUGAAUUAAAAUUAUGAUCAUGCCAAAAAUCACCUUUCCAGUAGAAUCUAUUAGCUCUUAUCUUCUGUUCUUUGAAAUCUAAAGUUCAAAAUAAAAAAUAUCUCAAAUUAUUAACCAAAAUAUUUUUACGGACAAGAUUAAACCAAAUAUUUUAUUUUUAUUAAAUUUAGGUUCUUUAAUAAAAUUAAUACGACUCAUUUAAAAAUCAAAUUAACCAUAUACAUUAAUCGAUCCUUUUUCUCCCCAACUGACUGUCUAUAUUGAAUUAAUCAAUCAAUAUACUAAAAAAGAAAGCCCAAAAUACUUGAAAAUCACAAUUAGACCUAACUCCGAGUGAAACCAAAAGAAUUUGGGGAAAAGCAUAUGGAGGCUCAGAUUCGCCUUUUAUCAGACAAGAAAAGGAACACAAUGGCUAUGGCUGCAACAAAGAAGAUCUCCAUGAAGGCAGGCAAAGCCAUCUCCACAGAAAUACAUAGAUAUCGCCCCGCCAAAAAUUCAAAGCGUUCUUUAACGUCUGAUUUUCGCACUCAGAAAAAAAAAAUCAUCACAGCCUCUUCCGAUUCGAUUUCGUAAAUAAAGCAGCAGCAGCAGAAGAUGAUAAAUAAACAAAUAAAUAAACAUAUAGAGCGGUUGAUUUUACAGAAGCGGCGUUGAAAUCAUCGGCUCCGCAUGCAUUCGGAGAGGCUGGCAACCACCCUACCAAGAAAACCCGUCCGCCUGUCCGAGAGCAAAGCCUCAUUCUUAAACUAAGGAGCGCUUAAUUAUUAUUAUUAUUAUUAUUACUAAUA
rnacentral:lncRNA from 1 species